AGCCCCACCCUCUUCUCGCGAGAGUUACAGUGCGGAGGGAGAAUGCAGAGUAGUGCGGCGCGGAGUCAGAGCUACAGAGUCAGAGCAGCGAUACGAGCAGAGGGAAAUCACGGAAGAGAAAGUCAAUAAGAAGUCACGAAAACAGCGGUUGUUAACUCACUUAUCAACACAGGAUAACCCGUGAAAGUGUACCUACCUGCAGCAGAGAGGUGGUCGAGGAUCUGUGGGUUAUUAUUUUCGGCAGAGACUUGGCUAGGUUUUGAGACCCUAUAGAAACCUUUAGAGGUGGAUCUGGAUUCUCCUGAUUGAGGGAGAUGGCGAGCCAGUGAAGAUUUUCCUUGCCAACGGAGUAGGGAACCAGCACCUGAGCCGGAAGAGGACAUCCAACCCCUUCUUCACCUUAACUGAUAGUGUCUGUGGUAGGACCACCACACACACUCUUGAUGUGUGACCCCUGACUCUUUGAACUUUCCCUUGACUUGACAUACACACAAAGCGCGCUGACUAACAACGACAAAACCUUAAAGGGACAUUCAAGGAACCAUUAAAGGAGAGUUACUGUUCCAAUGGGACACUUUUAUUUGGUUUUGUAAUGAAAAAGAAAAACUGUGAACCACUGAGUGAUCAGAUGCCAUUGCACUGAAUUUUGUUUAUUCUAUUUUAUUUUAUUUUCCAUACUGUUAAUAUAGUUGACUGCUUCCAA